CAGGCUUGCUCGGUGGUCUCUGCGCCUUCAAGACUUUGACUUCAGCAUCAUCCACAAACCUGGAGAACGUAAUAAGGUGCCCGAUGCCCUUUCCCGUAAUCCUCUACCAGAUGUGGAUGCCCCCAUUGAUCUUCUCCCUCCCUAUGCCGUGAUUGGGAGCAUGGACCUUCGUGCUCUGCCUUCUGUAAUUGUUUCAGACCGCCCGCAUGUUCGUCAACUGCAGCUUGAGGACCCAGUCACAGGCUCAUUGCUCAAUCAGCUGGAGAGUGACCAACAAACUGGGGAGGAUAAUCAAGAUCUGGAAAAGUAUGUUGUACAUGAUGGUCUCCUCUAUUUCCUCGACCCAAAAACAAAAUGUGGUCUCCACCCACUCAAGCAGCUUAAACUGUUUGCUCCUACUACACUCCGUGGUUAUCUGCUCAAGUAUUACCACGAUCAUCCUACAGCCGGACAUCUGGGCAUUGCAAAAACUGAUUUGAGGUCCCUCUUCUGAUUGGCUCCUUUCACGUCGCGGCAACUCUGAAAACCGGCUGUGGAGGGAUACUUCCGGGUUCGACUCCUGCUGUGGCUGUGAGCUUAUGGCAUUUAGAGCGGUAUUGGAAAACAAAGCGUUUUCUCUCCUCAAUUCAUCUUUAAACUUUAAACUCAGCGGUCAGGUUUUUUUUCCCCUUUGAAUUGAUCUUCUUCAUAUUGAAGUGGCGAGCCGGUAGGACCAUUCUUUGUUUUCCCCUCUUUUCCCCCACUUAGCCGUCUUUGGAUUACGGACAUAUUUCCCCCUUGUAUGAAGCUGGACCCUAAGGAGGAAUACCUUAAAAGUGAACUUUAAAAA